CACACGGAGGGAGGUGGAGACGAGCAGAUCUCCUCGCCUUCAGCCCGUUGAUCGGCAGAGGUCUGAAAGCAUGAAACAUUAGCGUCGGAGAACAAAAUCUCAGAGCGUGGGGCCCCGCAGUUUGUGCACCCAGGCGGGUUGAGAAAAGAAAAAAACAUGCGGGCAUUCCAUCUUUCCUUCAACCAUCUGGGAUUCCAGCCAGCCAGGCAGAAGCGUUGAAGAUGCUCCAAGAAGGAAGAGCUGCUAAAUUCAUUCAACAAGAUGACGGCUGUCAAACUCAACUUUGUCACGGGCCACGUUUUAGUUAGGAUUUUCUUACAACGUCCAUUAUAUAUGCUAAUACUCAAAUGACUAUUACAUAUGGCGGAAAACACUCAAGUGACUUGAAGUUCCACUCUGAGACCCCCAAUUUGGCCAAAUUUCAAAAGUGUCCUAUAUGCAUGUGUGAUACAUCAUUGGGAGGCUUAAAAUCUCAAUUUUCUGGGGGAAGAAAAUGUUUGAACAGGAGGGCAUUUAAAGAGAAAAAUUAAACAGCAAAACCCUAACUGGAGGUGAGAUUAUGAGAGAGCAUAAUUAAAGACGCCAUGAUUUUAACGAGAUACUAUCGCAAACUUACCUCUUUUCGGACCAAAAACUCCAUGAAGCAUGUUUCACCGAGUGUCAAGACACAGCUGUGAUUGGGCACAGCCGGAUUUUGGGGGGAUUUUAUGGGUGAAACAUGGUAAUAUAACAAGGGUCGCGAUGCAGAAAUCGCAGAUUAAGUGGCCGAGAUUUUCAUUUUCUUAUAUUUACCCUUUUGAAAGUUUUUUCCCAAUUUUUCUUUGUUUGGAUCGAUUAUUUAUCAUCUAACAUAUCAGGAAAAAUGCGACGGUAACAAAAAAAAUACAAUGAGGCGAAAGUUAUUUGGUAGAUAUCCGUGACCUUUUUACAGACACCAUUUUUUUCAUUGUGACGUAAUUUGUUUAAAAGUUUAAAAUAUGCGAGUGUAUAAUAUUUUAGUCUUUUUUUUUUUUUAAACUAAAUAUUAUACAUCAAUUAAUGAUUCAAAGCUAAAAAUAACAUUUCAAAUAAUAAUUGCUUCUUUUUAUGGCUGGGUUGAAACAAAAGCGGUUGCGCGACGUGUGUAAACAAGGGUCUCCAGGGUAAAACGGAUAAAUUAAAAAUAGCUUAAUGCGCCAUGAAUCUGCUAUUGCAGCAUGUAGACAUAUUUUUCUAUCAUACACAACAGUUCUUUUGGCUUAAAAUACAGCAGUUUAUUUCAAAGAGGAGUGCAAGAGCAGAAACUUCUUUUUCAGCCUUGUCUGUUUUCUGCCAUAUAUAUUAUGUACACACACAAAAAAUGGAAUGCUACCCCCCGAGAAAGGGAUUAUUAUUGUUGUAAUUCACCUUGAAGUUAAAUGAAAUUGAAAGGGGACAUUGGCUAACGUUACCAAAAGCUAUCAUUACCUUCAGCUAUGUCUGCAGAAAAAUCUGGAGUUUGACAAAGCUUGAGUUUGACACCUGUGCGUACGGCAGCGAAGACCUUGGAAGAAGCUCCUGCUCUCGACGGUCUUUGUGGCCCGGCGUUUGCUCAGUAGUCAGUGUAGAUCCUGUGGGGCUGGCAGCAGCUACAUCUGGCUACUGGGUCUCUGUUGGGCCUCAAAACAUCAGCAAUUCUUCUUUCUACAGCAGGGGUCUCAAACACUAUUUAGCCAUGUCGCUAUUUGACUUUGGCUAAUUUGUUCAUUAAAAAUGAGCAAAAGACCAAAAGAGUAUAUACACCUUUAUACAUUCAAGGUAAAAUGUCUUAUUAUUAGAGCUGGGAAUCUUUGGGCACCUAACGAUUCGAUUACGAUUCAGAGGCUCCGAUUCGAUUAUAAAACGAUUAUUGAUGCACCCCCCUCCUUUUUUUUUU